rnacentral:rRNA from 1 species
GAAUGCUGACAUAAGUAACGAUAAAGCGGGUGAAAAGCCCGCUCGCCGGAAGACCAAGGGUUCCUGUCCAACGUUAAUCGGGGCAGGGUGAGUCGACCCCUAAGGCGAGGCCGAAAGGCGUAGUCGAUGGGAAACGGGUUAAUAUUCCCGUACUUGGUGUUACUGCGAAGGGGGGACGGAGAAGGCUAUGUUGGCCGGGCGACGGUUGUCCCGGUUUAAGCGUGUAGGUGUGUGUUCCAGGUAAAUCCGGUUCACUUUAACACUGAGGCGUGACGACGAGGCACUACGGUGCUGAAGCAACAAAUGCCC